GAUGAACGCUGGCGGCGUGCCUAAUACAUGCAAGUCGAGCGAACGGACGAGAAGCUUGCUUUUCUGAUGUUAGCGGCGGACGGGUGAGUAACACGUGGAUACCCUACCUAUAAGACUGGGAUAACUUCGGGAAACCGGAGCUAAUACCGGAUAAUAUUUUGAACCGCAUGGUUCAAAAGUGAAAGACGGUCUUGCUGUCACUUAUAGAUGGAUCCGCGCUGCAUUAGCUAGUUGGUAAGGUAACGGCUUACCAAGGCAACGAUGCAUAGCCGACCUGAGAGGGGGAUCGGCCACACUGGAACUGAGACACGGUCCAGACUCCUACGGGAGGCAGCAGUAGGGAAUCUUCCGCAAUGGGCGAAAGCCUGACGGAGCAACGCCGCGUGAGUGAUGAAGGUCUUCGGAUCGUAAAACUCUGUUAUUAGGGAAGAACAUAUGUGUAAGUAACUGUGCACAUCUUGACGGUACCUAAUCAGAAAGCCACGGCUAACUACGCG
rnacentral:rRNA from 1 species